GGGUUAGUGGCGCAAUGGAUAACGCGUCUGACUUACGGAUCAGAAGAUUCCAGGUUCGACUCCUGGCUAGCUCG